AUUGAACGCUGGCGGCAGGCCUAACACAUGCAAGUCGAGCGGCAGCGGGAAAGUAGCUUGCUACUUUUGCCGGCGAGCGGCGGACGGGUGAGUAAUGCCUGGGAAAUUGCCCAGUCGAGGGGGAUAACAGUUGGAAACGACUGCUAAUACCGCAUACGCCCUACGGGGGAAAGCAGGGGACCUUCGGGCCUUGCGCGAUUGGAUAUGCCCAGGUGGGAUUAGCUAGUUGGUGAGGUAAUGGCUCACCAAGGCGCCGAUCCCUAGCUGGUCUGAGAGGAGGAUCAGCCACACUGGAACUGAGACACGGUCCAGACUCCUACGGGAGGCAGCAGUGGGGAAUAUUGCACAAUGGGGGAAACCCUGAUGCAGCCAUGCCGCGUGUGUGAAGAAGGCCUUCGGGUUAUAAAGCACUUUCAGCGAGGAGGAAAGGUUGAUGCCUAAUACGUAUCAACUGUGACGUUACUCGCAGAAGAAGCACCGGCUAACUCCGUGCCAGCCGCCGCAGUAAGAC
rnacentral:rRNA from 1 species